CUCCAUUUCUCCUCAAAUUUCGCUUCAAUGUUGCUGUUCAGAUAAUACAAAUUAGAGGUUUUAUCGCAUAGUGGUCAGAAAUUAGAGAGAAGAAGAGGUGUACAAUACAACUCACGUUGUUCUGAAGUUUCCUCCCUCAGUUUUUGAUGGGUGCACCUAAGCAAAAGUGGACUUCAGAAGAAGAAGCUGCCCUUAAAGUUGGGAUACUUAAGCACGGACGAGGUAAAUGGCGCACGAUUGUCAAGGAUCCAGAAUUUAGUGGAGUAUUCUGUUUGCGUUCAAAUGUAGAUCUCAAAGUAGGGUUCCUUCUAUCAUUUUUUUCAUUAGAUAAUUAUAUUUAGUGCAGAGGAAGUUUGGAAGUUAUUUGAACCAGAUAUAGUUGUGAGGUCUAGUCUUAAUUUUAGUUUCUUAUCUAUGCAUGUGGUGUUAAUAUGCUUUCCUAUUCAUACUUAUUGAUGCUGUUCAGGACAAGUGGAGGAACAUGACUGUAAUGGCAAACGGUUGGGGUUCUCGGGA